UGGAUUCGAGACUUCACUCCCGACUUGCGAAAAAGACCCACCUGAAACAAGCCAUAGGGUGUCAGCCAGGCCACGCCUGGGUGUGAGGAGGAGGAGGAGGCAUGGGAUGGGAACUGGAUGAGCUGGAAUUGCCUCUCAAUUAGCACAUGCUGAACUACCAAUGUAGCGACUUUAGGCAGUAGAUGAACAGUGUCUUCCUCUCCCAUGAGAUGAAGAGACAGGGUCUUGCUGUAUUGCCCAGGCUGGUCUCAAACUCCUGGCCUCAAGUGAUCCUCCUGCCUCAGUCUCACAAAGCACUUGGGAUUACAGGCAUGAGCCACCACGCCCAGCCCCUCUUUCUGACUUCGAUCAUCCACAGGCUGUUCCGCCUCAGAAAGGAAUGCUGAACAACUGAGGUACAGCCUUGAUGCCUCCAGCCAGACCCCCAGCUGGCCCAUUACUCAAGAUCACUAUCUCCAUCAUGACCUGCAGGCUGGACGAGCAGCAUGGUGUUGGCCUCUGCUUCUGGUGAGGCCUCAGGAAUCUUACCAUCACAGCACAAGAAUUUCAGGAACUGGCCUUAGGAAUCCAAACGCUGAACCAAGGUUACAGUGUCCCACCUGUGAAAGGAAUGCUGAACAACUGAUGUACAGCCUUGAUGCCUCCAGCCAGACCCCCAGCUGGCCCAUUACUCAAGAUCACCAUCCCCAUCAUGACCUCCAUCCCACUCAUCAUGGGCUUUGCCCAGCCCAGCCCACAUACCUCCUUCAAUGUCAAUUCCCACACUCUGCCCCCCAAAAAAUACCUCCCAGCUCUUUUUGGGGAACUAGUUGGAGGAUCUUUGGGCUUCUGCUGUCUUCUUUGUGCUCUAGUAUAAGCCUUGAAAUAAAGCCCUAGUCUGGGAAA